rnacentral:tRNA from 1 species
GGAGAGUAUAGCUCAGAGUGCAUGCCUAGCAUGCAUGAGGUCCUGGGUUCAAUUCACAGUACCUCUA